UCGAGAAUCUUCCGCAAUGGGCGAAAGCCUGACGGAGCGAUGCCGCGUGGUGGAUGAAGCGUUUCGGCGCGUAAACACCUUUUAUGAGGGAAGAAGUUUUGACAUUACCUCAUGAAUAAGGGGCUCCUAAUCACGUGCCAGCAGGAGCGGUAACACGUGAGCCUCGAGCGUUACCCGGAUUCACUGGGCGUAAAGGGUGCGUAGGUGGUUAUAUUAGUCGGUCGUUAAAUCCUAGGGCUCAACCCUAGACUCGCGACCGAAACGGUAUGACUAGAGGGUGUGAGAGGUCUGUAGAACUCAUGGUGUAGGGGUGGAAUCCGUUGAUAUCAUGGGGAAUACCAAAAGCGAAG
rnacentral:rRNA from 1 species